rnacentral:miRNA from 1 species
GGUUUCUCUGUGUAGCCCUGGCUGUCCUGGCACUCACUUUGUAGACCAGGCUGGCCUUGAACUCAGAAAUCCACCUGCCUCUGCCUCCCGAGUGCUGGGAUUAAAGGCAUGCGCCACCACGCCCG